rnacentral:rRNA from 1 species
AGUCGAGCGGACAGAUGGGAGCUUGCUCCCUGAUGUUAGCGGCGGACGGGUGAGUAACACGUGGGUAACCUGCCUGUAAGACUGGGAUAACUCCGGGAAACCGGGGCUAAUACCGGAUGGUUGUUUGAACCGCAUGGUUCAGACAUAAAAGGUGGCUUCGGCUACCACUUACAGAUGGACCCGCGGCGCAUUAGCUAGUUGGUGAGGUAACGGCUCACCAAGGCAACGAUGCGUAGCCGACCUGAGAGGGUGAUCGGCCACACUGGGACUGAGACACGGCCCAGACUCCUACGGGAGGCAGCAGUAGGGAAUCUUCCGCAAUGGACGAAAGUCUGACGGAGCAACGCCGCGUGAGUGAUGAAGGUUUUCGGAUCGUAAAGCUCUGUUGUUAGGGAAGAACAAGUGCCGUUCAAAUAGGGCGGCACCUUGACGGUACCUAACCAGAAAGCCACGGCUAACUACGUGCCAGCAGCCGCGGUAAUACGUAGGUGGCAAGCGUUGUCCGGAAUUAUUGGGCGUAAAGGGCUCGCAGGCGGUUUCUUAAGUCUGAUGUGAAAGCCCCCGGCUCAACCGGGGAGGGUCAUUGGAAACUGGGGAACUUGAGUGCAGAAGAGGAGAGUGGAAUUCCACGUGUAGCGGUGAAAUGCGUAGAGAUGUGGAGGAACACCAGUGGCGAAGGCGACUCUCUGGUCUGUAACUGACGCUGAGGAGCGAAAGCGUGGGGAGCGAACAGGAUUAGAUACCCUGGUAGUCCACGCCGUAAACGAUGAGUGCUAAGUGUUAGGGGGGUUUCCGCCCCUUAGUGCUGCAGCUAACGCAUUAAGCACUCCGCCUGGGGGAGUACGGUCGCAAGGACUGAAACUCAAAGGAAUUG